UUGGUGGCCUUCGGGAACGUCUGACACAGGUGCUGCAUGGCUGUCGUCAGCUCGUGUCGUGAGAUGUUGGGUUAAGUCCCGUAACGAGCGCAACCCUUGUCCUUAGUUACCAGCACGUUAUGGUGGGCACUCUAAGGAGACUGCCGGUGGACAAACCGGAGGAAGGUGGGGAUGACGUCAAGUCAUCCAUGGCCCUUACGGCCUGGGCUACACACGUGCUACAAUGGUACGGUACAAAGGGUUGCCAAGCCGCGAGGUGGAGCUAAUCCCAUAAAACCGAUCGUAGUCCGGAUCGCAGUCUGCAACUCGACUGCGUGAAGUCGGAAUCGCUAGUAAUCGUGAAUCAGAAUGUCACGGUGAAUACGUUCCCGGGCCCU
rnacentral:rRNA from 1 species